rnacentral:tRNA from 15 species
CGGGCUGUGGCGCAGCUUGGUAGCGCGUCUGCUUUGGGAGCAGAAUGUCGCAGGUUCAAAUCCUGUCAGCCCGACCU